rnacentral:rRNA from 1 species
AAUGAACGCUGGCGGCGCGCCUAAUACAUGCAAGUCGAGCGAGAAGACGUAGCAAUACGUUUGUAAAGCGGCGAACGGGUGAGGAAUACAUGGGUAACCUACCCUCGAGUGGGGAAUAACUAGCCGAAAGGUUAGCUAAUACCGCGUACGCUCCUUGGACUUCGGUUCAGGGAGGAAAGCGAUACCGUGGGUAUCGCGCUCUUGGUUGGGCUCAUGUCCUAUCAGCUUGUUGGGAGGUAACGGCUCACCAAGGCUUCGACGGGUAGCUGGUCUGAGAGGACGAUCAGCCACACUGGCACUGCGACACGGGCCAGACUCCUACGGGAGGCAGCAGUAAGGAAUAUUGCGCAAUGGGCGAAAGCCUGACGCAGCGACGCCGCGUGGGGGAUGAAAGUCUUCGGAUUGUAAACCCCUUUCGGGAGGGAAGAUGGAACUAGCAAUCGUUCGGACGGUACCUCCAGAAGCAGCCACGGCUAACUUCGUGCCAGCAGCCGCU